rnacentral:tRNA from 1 species
GAAGAUUACAAGGUUUUCUUGGCCUGCUAAGCCAUAGAAAUUGUAGUGCAAUUCUAUAAAAUCUUCG